rnacentral:piRNA from 1 species
UAAGAGGCCGAGGUUUGGAACUGGUGU